rnacentral:rRNA from 1 species
CCCCCCAAUGUGAACGUUACCAAUCUGUUGCCUCGGCGGGAUUCUCUGCCCCGGGCGCGUCGCAGCCCCGGAUCCCAUGGCGCCCGCCGGAGGACCAACUCAAACUCUUUUUUCUCUCCGUCGCGGCUUCCGUCGCGGCUCUGUUUUACCUUUGCUCUGAGCCUUUCUCGGCGACCCUAGCGGGCGUCUCGAAAAUGAAUCAAAACUUUCAACAACGGAUCUCUUGGUUCUGGCAUCGAUGAAGAACGCAGCGAAAUGCGAUAAGUAAUGUGAAUUGCAGAAUUCAGUGAAUCAUCGAAUCUUUGAACGCACAUUGCGCCCGCCAGUAUUCUGGCGGGCAUGCCUGUCCGAGCGUCAUUUCAACCCUCGAACCCCUCCGGGGGGUCGGCGUUGGGGGAUCGGCCCCUCACCGGGCCGCCCCCGAAAUACAGUGGCGGUCUCGCCGCAGCCUCUCCUGCGCAGUAGUUUGCACACUCGCACCGGGAGCGCGGCGCGGCCACAGCCGUAAAACACCCCAAACUCUGAAAUGUUGACCUCGGAUCAGGUAGGAAUACCCGCUGAACUUAAGCAUAUCAAUA